GGAGAUGUAGCUCAGUGGUAGAGCACUCAUCUACCAUGUGAGAGGCCCUGGGGUCCAUUCCUA
rnacentral:tRNA from 1 species